GACGGAGGAUGCAAGUGUUAUCCGGAAUCACUGGGCGUAAAGCGUCUGUAGGUGGUUAAUAAGUCAACUGUUAAAUCUUGAGGCUCAACCUCAAAAUCGCAGUCGAAACUAUUAGGCUAGAGUAUAGUAGGGGUAAAGGGAAUUUCCAGUGGAGCGGUGAAAGUGACUGUAGAGAUUGGAAAAGAACACCGAUGGCGAAGGCACUUUACUGGGCUAUUACUAAACACUCAGAGA
rnacentral:rRNA from 1 species